rnacentral:rRNA from 1 species
GGGCAGCACAUGAGGCAGCGAUGCCGAUGGUGGCGACCGGCGCACGGGUGAGUAACACGUAUGCAACCUGCCUUCAACAAGGGGAUAACCCGUUGAAAGACGGACUAAUACCCUAUGACACAGGGGUCCCGCAUGGGGCUAUUUGUUAAAGAUUGAUCGGUUGAGGAUGGGCAUGCGCUCCAUUAGCUUGUUGGCGGGGUAACGGCCCACCAAGGCAACGAUGGAUAGGGGAACUGAGAGGUUUAUCCCCCACACUGGUACUGAGACACGGACCAGACUCCUACGGGAGGCAGCAGUGAGGAAUAUUGGUCAAUGGACGCAAGUCUGAACCAGCCACGUCGCGUGAAGGAAGACGGCCCUACGGGUUGUAAACUUCUUUUUCAAGGGAAUAAAGUGAGUCACGCGUGACUUUUUGCAAGUACCUUGCGAAUAAGGAUCGGCUAACUCCGUGCCAGCAGCCGCGGUAAUACGGAGGAUCCGAGCGUUAUCCGGAUUUAUUGGGUUUAAAGGGUGCUCAGGCGGGCGAUUAAGUCGGCGGUGAAAUUUUGCGGCUCAACCGUAAAAGUGCCUUCGAAACUGGUCGCCUUGAGUGUGGAUGAGGUAGGCGGAAUUUGUGGUGUAGCGGUGAAAUGCAUAGAUAUCACGAGGAACUCCGAUCGCGCAGGCAGCUUACCAGGCCAUAACUGACGCUCAAGCACGAAGGCGUGGGGAUCAAA